UGGUCCAGUGGGUAAGAAUACAUGCUCUGCAAGCAUGAGGACCUGAGUUCAAAUCCCAG
rfam:Cricetulus griseus cell line CHO-K1, whole genome shotgun sequence.